rnacentral:rRNA from 1 species
GACGAACGCUGGCGGCGUGCUUAACACAUGCCAGUCGAACGGAAAGGCCCUGCUUUUGUGGGGUGCUCGAGUGGCGAACGGGUGAGUAACACGUGAGUAACCUGCCCUUGACUUUGGGAUAACUUCAGGAAACUGGGGCUAUACCGGAUAGGAGCUCCUGCUGCAUGGUGGGGGUUGGAAAGUUUCGGCGGUUGGGGAUGGACUCGCGGCUUAUCAGCUUGUUGGUGGGGUAGUGGCUUACCAAGGCUUUGACGGGUAGCCGGCCUGAGAGGGUGACCGGCCACAUUGGGACUGAGAUACGGCCCAGACUCCUACGGGAGGCAGCAGUGGGGAAUAUUGCACAAUGGGCGGAAGCCUGAUGCAGCAACGCCGCGUGCGGGAUGACGGCCUUCGGGUUGUAAACCGCUUUCGCCUGUGACGAAGCGUGAGUGACGGUAAUGGGUAAAGAAGCACCGGCUAACUACGUG